CCAGCCCUGCUGUGCCAGCCCUGCUGUGCCAGCCCUGGGAGCGGGGCCGUGUGUGGGGUCUGCUGUUUUCUAGUUGGAGUUAUUUUUAUAGCCUGUAUUAUAAGGAAACCCACACGUGAGGAAAGGAAGAAGGAAUUAAAUGGAAAACAAACCACAGGCCCAGCCAUUAAUCCUUCUGGGGAAAGCAGGGCCUGGGCUGCAUUCUUCAGCGUCCAACCCACUGUGGGACACACCAGGUGAAAGUUGUCAACAGUCUGAGCUGAGUCUCUGGUCAGCCAUCGUUCUGGGGGAUCUGCUGCUGCUCUCCCACUGGAGCCUGUUCCUUUGUGCUCUUUCCAUGCAGAGCAGCCAAAAUCAUGAAUUAAACAUUGCUGAUAUUAAAGAGGACUCCUGGCAUCUGCCCCAAAUGGAGAAAUCAACGUGUCAUUCAUUAAAGAUAUCCACACUUGUACAGGGAACACAUGUUUGCCAGAUGGUGCCAGUUCAGGAUUCCCAGAGGGAGCGGGAGAGGUCCAUCCCUGCUGAAUGCCAGAGCCACCCCAGUCCCAGGGUCCCCCAAGGGUUUUCACUCCUCUCCCUGCAGCCUGGCAGAGAUGCCCCUGGGCCUCUCCCAGCUGAGGCUGUGUUGUGACCCCAGACUGCCAAGGAAAGUACAAAAUUGAUGUAUCUUGGGGGAGGGAGGGAGGGGUGUGGGCUGAGAUCUGGUGUCUCAAGACCAUUCUUUAGACAGUGCUGAUCCAGACUGUCUUAUUCCCAGCAUUUUUCAAAUUGUGUUAUUUCCUACAGUUUGCAACUACACACAGUAGUCAGAGGUUAUGACACGUAGCUGACUUUAAAGGACACUGUAACAAGUGCUAUGUACAUAUUCUAUAAAUGUUGUUAUACCCUGUAUUUUAUAGCUUUAGACUGCAAUAAAUGGGGACAAACUA